GUGCUCGCUUCGGCAGCACAUAUACUAAAAUUGGAACCACACAGGGAAGAUUAGAACGGCCCCUUUGCAAGGAUGACACACAAAUUGAUGAAGCGGUCCAUACUUGU